rnacentral:lncRNA from 1 species
GAGCUGGCGACUUGUAGUAGCUAUUUGAAGGAGCGGGCGACUUGUAGUAUUUAGUGGGAGCUGGCGACUUAUAGUAUUUUGCUGGAGCUGGUGACUUGUAGUUUUUUACGGGAACUGGCGACUUGUAAUAUUUUACGGGAGCUGGUGACUUGUAAUAGUGCUUUGCAGGAGCAGGUGAUUUGUAAAACUUCUUAGAAAUGUAAGAAGGUGAGGGAGAAGUAUACCCAUACGAGUAA